rnacentral:rRNA from 1 species
UCAAGCGGAAAGUGAAAGCGUACGGCUCAACCGUAUUCACAUUUUCUGAACUGAUAAACUAGAGGGCGAGAGAGGUUAUUGGAAUUUCUUGUGUAGGAGUGAAAUCCGUAGAUAUAAGAAGGAACACCGAUGGCGUAGGCAGAUAACUGGCUCGCACCUGACACUAAGGCACGAAAGCGUGGGGAGCAAACGGGAUUAGAUACCCCGGUAGUCCACGCCGUAAACUAUGGAUGCUA